rnacentral:rRNA from 1 species
UACAGAGGGGGCAAGCGUUAUUCGGAAUUAUUGGGCGUAAAGGGCGCGUAGGCGGCUUGGCAAGUGGAUGGUGAAGUCCCUCGGCUUAACCGAGGAACUGCCGUCCAAACUGCUUCGCUUGAGACCGGGAGAGGUGAGUGGAAUUCCCAGUGUAGCGGUGAAAUGCGUAGAUAUUGGGAGGAACACCAGUGGCGAAGGCGGCUCACUGGACCGGUACUGACGCUGAGGCGCGAAAGCGUGGGGAGCAAACGGGG